AAAAAAAACAAACGUUAAAACCUCAAUCCUCAGUAGGAAGGUAGAUUACAUUAGGUGAAAUUAUAGGUAAUCUAUGUAUGUGCUAAUGGGGUUGGAAAGAACCUUACAGAGCAUAUUACCUGAUAAACUGGAGUGGGUUUGGGAGAACAAACUAAUAGGAUUAUUGUGUCUCCUAGUUGGUACCUGGGAGCAAUUGACAUGCCCCCUUCAGAACCUUAACUGUUAGUAGCAGUGGCUGUAACAACACAAACCAGUGACCAGAGAUAACAGCUUUUAG
rnacentral:misc_RNA from 1 species